rnacentral:rRNA from 1 species
UACGUAGGGUGCAAGCGUUAAUCGGAAUUACUGGGCGUAAAGCGUGCGCAGGCGGUUUUGUAAGCCAGGGGUGAAAUCCCCGGGCUCAACCUGGGAAUGGCAUUUGGGACUGCAAGGCUGGAGUGCGGCAGAGGAGACUGGAAUUCCUGGUGUAGCAGUGAAAUGCGUAGAUAUCAGGAGGAAUACCGAUGGCGAAGGCAGGUCUCUGGGCUGACACUGACGCUCAUGCACGAAAGCGUGGGGAGCAAACAGG